UACGGAGGGUGCAAGCGUUGUCCGGAUUUAUUGGGUUUAAAGGGUGCGUAGACGGCUUUUUAAGUCAGUGGUGAAAGACGGCAGCUUAACUGUCGCAGUGCCAUUGAUACUGGGGAGCUUGAGUAUAGUUGAGGUAGGCGGAAUUUAUGGUGUAGCGGUGAAAUGCAUAGAUACCAUAAAGAACACCGAUAGCGAAGGCAGCUUACUAAACUAUAACUGACGUUGAGGCACGAAAGCAUGGGGAUCGAACAGGAUUAGAAACCCCAGUAGUCC
rnacentral:rRNA from 1 species